ensembl:lncRNA
UUUUCUAUCUUCUUCUCUCCUCUUCCUCUCAUCUCCUCUUACCUCUCCCCACUCUUCAAUUCCACAUUGUUCCUACAGUGUAACGGAUACAGUGAAGUAAAAUGCAGGCAGGCAAGGCCCCAUCAAAGAAAAUGUUUUUAAAAAGCCAAGCCAAGUCUGAAUGUGCCCAGAGACAUGGCAUGUGUGCAACCUGUGUGUGGUUGGUGUGAGCCUCUCUCUCUCUCUCUCUCCUCUCUCUCUCCUCUCUCUCUCUGUUCUCUUAGCUUCUCUUAGCAGUUCUCUAUGCUUCUCUCAGCUGUUCUCUAUGCUUCUCUCAGCUGUUCUCUAUGUUUCUCUAAGCUGUUCUCUGUGCUUCUCUAAGCUGUUCUCUAUGUUUCUCUCAGCUGUUCUCUAUGUUUCUCUAAGCUGUUCUCUGUGCUUCUCUAAGCUGUUCUCUAUGUUUCUCUCAGCUGUUCUCUAUGUUUCUCUAAGCUGUUCUCUAUGUUUCUCUAAGCUGUUCUCUAUGUUUCUCACAGCUGUUCUCUAUGCUUCUCUUAGCUGUUCUCUAUGCUUCUCUAAGCUGUUCUCUAUGUUUCUCUCAGCUGUUCUCUAGGUUUCUCUUUGCUGUUCUCUGUGCUUCUCUUAGCGGUUCUCUUCUCCAAGCUGUUCUCUGUGCUUCUCUUAGCAGUUCUCUUCUCUAAGCUCUUCUCUACACUUCUCUAAGCUGUUCUCUGUGUUUCUCUCAGCUGUUCUCUAUGCUUCUCUAAGCUGUUCUCUAUGCUUCUCUUAGCAGUUCUCUUCUCUAAGCUGUUCUCUGUGCUUCUCUUAG